GUUUGGAGGACUGAUGGUCUAUUGUCUUUUUUUUCUUUUUUUUUUGGGUUGAGAUGAUAAACAAGUAGUCUUUGAUCACAUCUUAGACCGGGCGAUAAACUUAAAUUUACUGGUUUUUGAUUGAAUUUUGUUCUUCAGUCUUUUAUCUUUGGGAGUUGAUUAUUACCUAGUCCUAAUCCUCUCACAGGUUGGAAUCUUGCCAAACUUGACAAGUGGUGAUCUGCCACAAGCUGAUGAUUUUCUGAAAUUGGAUAAGCUAUUGUUUCUCGAGGCAGUUAUCGGUUUGAAUGAAAUUUGUUCAACGGUCCCAUACUUUUCCGAUUAAUGCGAAAAUCGAUUCUCAUUCCUUUGGAGGUCAGUGUUUAGUUGAUGUAUGAUCUGAGAUGGUUCUUUCUUUGCAAGGUGCACGCGCCCCAACAGAUCACUAUCCAAUCCAGAUCUGCUUCAUCUUAGCCGGGGUCUCCGUCCUAGAAAUGGUCCGUCCCUCGUGACCUCAUCCUUCAGUCUCAGCGUGAGUUUAUGAUUGUGCACGUGUUUCUCCUUUCAGUUGACAGCCUCUGGGAAGUACUCUUCAGAGGAGACGUCGUUCCCAAAACACCCUCUUGAUCCUUCUUCUUUUCUUUUUGUUUCUGAAUUGAUUAUUUAAUCCGUAUGAUUCUGUUUAUGCUAUGUUAUUUUCCGAAGAUUACGCCUCACCUUUCUGGGACUCUGCCAUGUUGUGUGCAUUGUUAGGGUUUGUGCUCCUCUGAUCAUUGAUUGAUUCAUCAUUGAUUGAUCUUUCUGUUUAGUUGUAUUAUGAGCAGAUUCUGGUAUUCAUUAGUGGCUUCUUUCUUCUUGGAGCGAUCAUUUUGUCUGAGGAUGUUGUUUGAGGAAAAUGAAUACAAUGCAACUGGUCAGUUGGUUACAUAGAAUAGGACGUUUGGGCUUUUUGGAGGACUAAUGAUCUAUCUAUCUUGCACUCUUUGGUUGAGCUGAUGAUCUAGAAGUCUUUGUCUUCAGGACAAGCAAUGGACCGAAAUUUUGACAACCUUCUAGGCUUCUUUUACAGUUGCAUCUUUCUUCUUGGAGCAAUCUCUUCAUCUGAGCGUGUCGUCUAAGGAUGCUAAAUACAUAGAAGCUUGUCAGUUAACAUAGAAUAAGGUGGCUUGGGUUUCUUGGUGGAGUGGUGAUCUAUUAUGCUGUCUUUGUUUGCUUGAGUUCUGAAGUAGUCUUUGAUCACAUCUUCAGGACGGGCGAUAGACUGAAAUUUUGAAGAUUUCGAGGAAUUUUUAGUUUUGAUUUAAGUUGGUCUUCAGUUGAUUAUCUUUGGGGAGUAGUGUGAUAAUUAUUGUUGAGUUCUAGUUCCUCUUCAGGUUGAAGUUUUCCCGGGUUUGAGAAGUGGAGAUAUAUUGCGUUCUUCUGUGGGGCUGAGUUGAUGAUUGUUUGAAAUUGGACAAGCAGCGGCUUCGUGGAUUCUAGGCUGUUGAAACUCUUUAGGGCUACGAAUUAUAAAUCUACAAUUGCGGCAUGAUCCUUUGCCAAUGAUGAUCUGUCAUCCAGAUACUCUAAUUCAUGGUUCUAGUGUAUCUCUUUCUCAUCUGCUCCACAAGGGUUGUUCGGAGUCAUCCUCCUUCUAAUUGGAGAUAUUAAAUGAUGAUCGGUUUCAUUUGCUUUGGUAUUUACUUUGAAGGAAUUAAUUUUGAAGAA